rnacentral:rRNA from 1 species
CUGGAUGGUAGUGUAUUGGACAACCAUGGCAUUCACGGGCUAUCGGGGGAUUAGGGUUCGAUUCCGGAGAGGGAGCCUGAGAAACGGCUACCACUUCUACGGAAGGCAGCAGGCGCGAAAAUUAUCCAAUCCUGAUUCAGGGAGGUAGUGACAGAAAUAAUGAACUAGGAUUUAUCCUGGGGUCAGAAUGGGCUUGAUUUGCAAACUUUAUUUAGCGAGGAACAAUUGGAGGGCAAGUCUGGUGCCAGCAGCCGCGGUAAUUCCAGCUCCAAUAGUGUAUAUUAAUGUUCCUGCAGUUAUUCGAUGCUCGUAGUUGGAUUUCUGGAGGCUGAGACAGGAAGGCAGCCAAGGUUGUCGCCAGUCUCUUCCUUCAUCCACCUGUUAACGUUGUCCGGGAUUCAUUUCUCGGCUUCGGGCUCAGGUAUUUUACCCUUUCUAUAUAUUCAUUUAUUUACUUUUUGAGCAAAUUAUAGUGUUUCNNGCAGGCGUGCGCCGGAAUACAUUAGCAUGGAAUAAUCGAACAGGACCGUGUAUUCAUAAUUUGAAUUCNUCCNUANUNNNNUNCUAANNCANGNAANNNNANNNGG